rnacentral:lncRNA from 1 species
CUGAUGCAGAAUUUGUUUUUAAAAUGAUAGAAUAAAGUUAAAAUAUCAAAAUAGGGAGUUUAAGAAUAAAGUCACUUAUAUGUAGUGAUGACAGUAGUCUCACACAACAGGAACUACAUGUUUAACUUGCAAAACUGAUGUCAUGCUCUGGCAUCAGCUGGUAAGGAGCUGCUAUUCCUUUCCCACUCCACUGGUCACAUUACUAGCAGAUUUCUGUCCUUACAGAUUAUAGUGUAGAAUGAAGGGGAUGGCUUUUGAUGCUGACAUUUUGAUCAUUUAAUGGCUCACAUGUAUCUGACUUUACUUACAUUUACUUAGUUUCUAAGUAAAGAAAGCAGCUUGCCAACUUGUUCAUCCAAUUGCUCUAAAUAAUCUCUUUCCAGGAAUCAAGUGAUUCAAGAGGCAGGGACUGUUGCUUCUUCAUUUCACUGUCUAAAGGAACCAUAUGUUACCAUUCUUAUUCAGAGGGGAACACUCCUGAGGAUCUUGAUUAAAGGCAACUCAUGCCACCAACGGUAUUUCUAUGAUCUACCUACUAUGGAGCUGAAAAGUAAAGAUGGAAAUAAGCCUAUCUACAAACAGGAUGCUCUCUAUCAAGAGUCAUGAGAAUUGUCUUCAGAGGGUGCUGAAGAGACAUCAACCUGUCUUCUUUGAGACUCCUAGUGUUGGUGUGGAAGAUGCUACUGGAGACAACAGGUUCCUCCAGGCCUGAUUGCUUGGUCAAUUGUGGUAAAGUUUUAUAAAUUAAUCUUUGUGUACCUUUUAAAAAAAUUUAAAAACCUUCAUCAUCUUCCCUGCACUGUAGAGAAAAUACUUGCUUUUAUCUUUCUGGUAAAGGACCAGUUUCCAGUCUGUAAAUGGGAAAAGUAGAGACAUGCAAGAGGAAUAAAUUGUUAGAGGUCCCCGAUACAGGGGGGUGACACCUG